ACUAAUGGCUGGCCUUAAACGACAUUCAACUCUACAGCAGCCUGGUACAUUUAGAAGAGGAAGGACAGUCAUUCAUCAAAACUGCCGAAUGGGAAAUGCUGUUCCCAUCACACCUGCCACAUUACCACCAGUCGCUUCAGGAUUCGGAUGUUCAGUGCCGUCGGUUACGGAAAAGGAUUCGGUCAAGCCGGACAGAAGGCUCCCAGGUUUUGCAGAAGAACUCACUUCAACCUUCCUUUGAGAAAAGUCAGUUAAUGCCGGCUGCUCUGUGUUCUGAUCCCGCAAGUGCCUAUCCAUUGAAGCCUGAAUAGAAGAAACCAUUUCCUGCAAUUUUUUUCUCUGAGCCUCUAUCAAGUUAGGGUCAAGCUGCCUGCUGUCUCUCAUCGUUACUACUCCAGGAGCUAUUCGGAUAAGCUCACUGUUACCAGGAGCAUCCGUGAAUACAGAAGGCUCGGUUUUUAUGGAACUUGUACCAAAGUCUGUCCCUGUGCUAUGUUUUCUUGCAACUGGAGUUUCUCUUACUCUCUGAUCAAGAUGGGGGCUACUAGAUGCAGUUCCUAGAGAAUGCCCUUUCCCUUGAAAUGCAGUUAUGUUAUGCAAUUGUUCAGAUUUCUUUUUUACUACUCCACCACUACCUAAUUUCAAGAGACCAUGUGAAGGACUUGCUUCCCUACUUCUUGAAGUAGCCUCUGCUCGAACCUGACUUAAGGCCUCUUUAACUAAAUCUUCAACAUCAGGACCGAUGGGGAAGUGCCCUGCGGUAUCCACACACAAUUCCAGUCUGUCUUCUGUGGCAUUGUAGACAAAGGUUUUACCCGGCAGAUGUGGAAAAGUACAAUGCUUGCCAUCAGUCAUACCUAGGAAGGGAAAGAAAGGAGAAAAAACAAAAACCCACACGUUUGAAAGUCCUUUCAAACUUUGUAAAACAUUUACAAAAAAUUCAAUUAUUUCUGAAGCAGCAUAUCUUAAUUACAUUGAUAAUCUCUUUUAUAAGGGGGCACUUGUUCGUAGAAGUUCAUUUCAGUUGCGCACAUCUGGCUGCAGAAUUUAGCCCAAAGGUCAUGGGUUUUGAAGAAAUGGCCUAGCCAGUGGAUGACAGCCAGGAAAGCACAUGAGAGCACAUACUCCAAGCCCAAAUCAGGAGGUGUGAGAAUGUGUUCUGCGACUAUUCACUGGGUUAUAUUUUGGGGGCUCAGAAGCACCCCUUCUCAUCCCCUUCGGAAAAUUCUAAAGAGCCACACCAAGGGAGAAGGGGUGAUGGUUUCUUUUGAAAAUUUUAUAGUCACCUUUUCUCCAAGUACUUCACAGACAAACUGUUAUAAUUAUUUUGCUAUGCAGGGUGGUGAACUCGAGAUUGGAAGGAUGACCCAGCUGACUUAGAUACCAGUGGCAGUUGGGGAUAAACGGGUCUCAAGAGGAAACCAACAACUCUGCUAACAGGAAGAGUUUAAAACCUGUCGGGUCAUUUGUAUCUUUAGAAAGGCAAAUUUUAAAAGGGGCCAUUUUUUAAGCAUCAAAGCUAUGCCAUAUUUAAUCCAAGGCUUGGCACUUUUAAAGGCACCAUGAGAAAACAAUCUCCAAGAGAUUCUUUAGGAAUACUUGUAUUUUGGGUGCUACCAGGUGCUCCUUUCAGAGCACUCAGAACUGGUUGGAGUCUCAAUUUGAGGAAUCUGGUUUGAUGCCCUUCCAAUAUCUGGGAACUCCCUUUUUCCCUCUCCCCCUACCCCGAUCUCCACUCAGCUUUUGGUUUCCCCAUCAGCUAGCACAUUUGGGACCUUGCAACUCGAUUACCUUUUUAACUCAAAUGCAGGGUCUGGAGAAGAUGUACCUAGUAAAGAAAUCUAAUCGCCA